AAAUUUCUGCGUCGUGGGAUGGGU
rnacentral:miRNA from 1 species